GGCGGCAAUAGCGGAGGGGAAACGCCCGGUAACAUUCCGAACCCGGAAGCUAAGCCCUCCAGCGCCGAUGGUACUGCACUCGUGAGGGUGUGGGAGAGUAGGACGCCGCC
rnacentral:rRNA from 1 species